UCCUGACCCAACGUAAGAAGUUAUCAAGUCAGCGACGGUAUCGUAUGCUUCAUCUUCAAACUGAUAUUGAUAUCUUUCAUAUACAGUUUCUGGAUGGACUACAAUCUAAACAAAAAUGUUGGCCAUUGGAUCUACAACUAAGGACAUAGUUAUCGGGUUGUGACGAGGAGUCUCUGACCAAAAACUCUCUAUCUUGCUGCAGCAAAUUUUCUGCCGCUGUUCGACUUAAGGCGCCGUGGUACCAAGCAUGAGAGAUAAUUUGAUCAGAAGGACACCUAGACUCGCUCGAGACUCACUAUGCGCACGGACCCUGCCCGGGAAUUGUAAAAAUCAAUAAGUUCGCGGCACCCUUUCCUGCUUUAUGUUGGUAGUUAGUAUUUACUUUACGGGGGAUCUUCAGUGUCCACAGAGUUAGAUACAGAUUGAAAAUUGUGCAGAAUGUUUUUGAAUACAUAUUAAACUUAUUUGUAAUCAUUCUUAUCUUACGGCACAUACGUUCAAUUUUAUUAUAUUAUAUUAAAUUUUCUCAGUUAUCGAAUUAUUUAUUUUCAAUAUACGCUAGUAAAAAUACGCCAUUUAAAUUAUAAUCUUAAAAAAGGAAUCGUUGUCUAUGAUUAGGUGCAAUAUUGCACUUUAGUCGAAAAACAAGGUUUUGCUUCAGAAUCGCUGAUCCCAGUGAAUGGAAUGGAUCUUGAUCAUAUAUUGAAUUGGCCGUCAACUCCUGAGGAAGAAAACUUCCUAAAUGCGAUCCUGGAGUCGUUGAUUAAAUACACCGAUGAUGGGGUUCGCUACCUCGACGCCGAGGCCGUUGUAACGGUUGUGCAUCGCAUCUGGGCUUGACAAGGACUGAUAACGGGUCCAAUCAACUCUGACAACGCAGGCAGCAGCAGCAAUAACAGCAGCAACAAUAACGGCGGCAGCAACCACAACCCGGAUAAUAGUGCCCCGGACUCGACCAAUGGACCUUCCACGUCCAAAGGGGCCUCUUCUUCGGCAAAAUAAUAAAGGAAUCUGUUUAGAUAUGCUUGUACUCUUCUUUGCUUACUCCGCUCUAUUAGAAAUCUGUCACGAUUUGAAUUAGAUUCAAAAUAUUACUUCUAAAAUAUAUAGUUAAAUGUGAAAA